CCACGGCCCAAGCCUUGUCUAGGAUGCAAUAGACGAGGUGUAAGGACUAGAGGUUAGAGGAGACCCCGUGGAAACA
rfam:Japanese encephalitis virus isolate Vellore P20778, complete genome.